rnacentral:rRNA from 1 species
CGCACGGGUGAGUAACGCGUAAGUUAUCUACCCUCCCAUCUGGAAUAACUCACCGAAAGGUGUGCUAAUACCGGAUACGUUGGAAACAAGAAAGGUGGCCUCUAUUUAUAAGCUACCGUGGGGGGAUGAGCUUGCGUACCAUUAGCUAGUUGGUAGGGUAAUGGCCUACCAAGGCAACGAUGGUUAGCGGGUCUGAGAGGAUGAUCCGCCACACUGGAACUGGAACACGGACCAGACUCCUACGGGAGGCAGCAGUGAGGAAUAUUGCGCAAUGGGGGAAACCCUGACGCAGCGACGCCGCGUGGAUGAUGAAGGCCCUUGGGUCGUAAAAUCCUGUCAGUAUGGAAAGAAAUGCUAUUGGUUUAAUAUGCCUUUAGUUUGACGGUACCAUCAAAGGAAGCACCGGCUAACUCCGUGCCAGCAGCCGCGGUAAUACGGAGGGUGCAAGCGUUGUUCGGAAUUACUGGGCGUAAAGCGCGCGUAGGUGGUUUGUUAAGUCAGAUGUGAAAAGUCCACGGCUCAACCGUGGAAAGUGCAUUUGAAACUGGCAGACUUUGAGUAUUGGAGGGGGUAGUGGAAUUCCCGGUGUAGAGGUGAAAUUCGUAGAUAUCGGGAGGAAUACCGGUGGCGAAGGCGACUACCUGGCCAAAUACUGACACUGAGGUGCGAAAGCGUGGGGAGCAAACAGGAUUAGAUACCCUGG